rnacentral:rRNA from 1 species
UACAGAGACUGCAAGCGUUAUUCGGAUUCACUGGGCGUAAAGGGUGCGCAGGCGGCCAAGUGUGUGAGGCGUGAAAGCCCGAAGCUAAACUUCGGAAUUGCACCUCAAACUACAUGGCUAGAGCAUUGGAGAGGGUAGCGGAAUUCACGGUGUAGCAGUGAAAUGCGUAGAUAUCGUGAGGAACACCAGAGGCGAAGGCGGCUACCUGGACAAUUGCUGACGCUCAGGCACGAAAGCGUGGGGAGCAAAAGGG